rnacentral:lncRNA from 1 species
AAUGAAAGAAUCAUGAGUAAGUGAUCUUUGAGAAUAUAUCUACCAUUGCUUUCAAUACGUGAGAGAUCUCCGAAUUCUUCAAUCAUGUCCCACAUAAGUAUAACUUCGUUUGUAGCUUUGAUGAUACCAUCCAAAUUGGAGAGAUUCUUGGCCCAAUUUUUUUAGCUCGUUUCUUAGUCUUUUAAAAUUCUACAGUGAUGAGCUUAGCAUUGUCUUGCUUGGUACCUAUGUGGGAAAGGGGAC